GCUCAGGAUGAACGCUAGCUACAGGCUUAACACAUGCAAGUCGAGGGGUAGCAGGGUAGCAAUACCGCUGACGACCGGCGCACGGGUGAGUAACACGUAUCCAACCUUCCCAUUACUCGGGGAUAGCCUUUCGAAAGAAAGAUUAAUACCCGAUAGUACUUUUUCGAGGCAUCUCGUAAAAAGUUAAAGAUUUAUUGGUAAUGGAUGGGGAUGCGUUCCAUUAGAUUGUUGGUGAGGUAACGGCUCACCAAGUCUUCGAUGGAUAGGGGUUCUGAGAGGAAGGUCCCCCACAUUGGUACUGAGACACGGACCAAACUCCUACGGGAGGCAGCAGUGAGGA
rnacentral:rRNA from 1 species